AGGAUUAACGCUGGCGGCGUGCCUAACACAUGCAAGUCGAACGAGGUAGCAAUACCUAGUGGCAGACGGGUGAGUAACGCGUGGUCAACCUACCGUUGAGUGGGGGAUAACUAGCCGAAAGGUUAGCUAAUACCGCAUACGAGUCUCGGGGGCAUCCCUGGGCCUUAAAAGGAGCAAUCCGCUCGAUGACGGGACCGCGUCCCAUUAGCUAGAUGGUGGGGUAACGCCUACCAUGGCACCGAUGGGUAGCUGGUUUGAGAGAGCGACCAGCCACACUGGGACUGAGAAACGGCCCAGACUCCUACGGGAGGCAGCAGUGAGGAAUUUUCCGCAAUGGGCGAAAGCCUGACGGAGCGACGCCGCGUGUGGGAAGAAGGCCUUCGGGUCGGUAAACCACUGUCGAAGGGGACGAUAAUGACGGUACCCUUGGAGGAAGCCCGGCUAACUACGUGCCAGCAGCCGC
rnacentral:rRNA from 1 species